rnacentral:rRNA from 1 species
AUUGAACGCUGGCGGAAUGCUUUACACAUGCAAGUCGAACGGCAGCACGGACUUCGGUCUGGUGGCGAGUGGCGAACGGGUGAGUAAUGUAUCGGAACGUGCCCAGUCGUGGGGGAUAACGUAGUGAAAAUUACGCUAAUACCGCAUACGAUCUAUGGAUGAAAGCGGGGGAUCGCAAGACCUCGCGCGAUCGGAGCGGCCGAUACCAGAUUAGGUAGUUGGUGGGGUAAAGGCCCACCAAGCCAACGAUCUGUAGCUGGUCUGAGAGGACGACCAGCCACACUGGAACUGAGACACGGUCCAGACUCCUGCGGGAGGCAGCAGUGGGGAAUUUUGGACAAUGGGCGAAAGCCUGAUCCAGCCAUUCCGCGUGCAGGAUGAAGGCCCUCGGGUUGUAAACUGCUUUUGUACAGAACGAAAAGGUUUCUACUAAUACUAGGAGCUCAUGACGGUACUGUAAGAAUAAGCACCGGCUAACUACGUGCCAGCCGCCGCGGUAA